rnacentral:misc_RNA from 1 species
UUAACUAUUAAGAUAGUACUCAGACAAUAUGUAAUCAGAGUUUUGAGUCUCUGGCAGGCGCUGGCCAGCCGAAGCCGGCGGUCCGAGGACGGGCCUGCCAAAGCAACAAAGUAUAAUAAACAGAGGGUGGGAGAUCUACCCCGAAGGGCAAGUUCUCAUUAAUGAUCCUUCCGCAGGUUCACCUACGGAAA